GACGUAGGUGGCGAGCGUUGUUCGGAUUCAUUGGGCGUAAAGGGUGCGUAGGCGGCGCGGUAAGUCGGGUGUGAAAUCUCGGAGCUUAACUCCGAAACUGCAUUCGAUACUGCCGUGCUUGAGGACUGGAGAGGAGACUGGAAUUUACGGUGUAGCGGUGAAAUGCGUAGAUAUCGUAAGGAAGACCAGUGGCGAAGGCGGGUCUCUGGACAGUUCCUGACGCUGAGGCACGAAGGUCCAGGGGAGCAAAACGGG
rnacentral:rRNA from 1 species